UGGUUGAUCCUGCCAGUAGUCAUAUGCUUGUCUCAAA
rnacentral:rRNA from 1 species